rnacentral:lncRNA from 1 species
UUUUCACCGAACACUCAUUCGAACACUUUGGCAAAAAUCCCAAAAAACUCUCCAAAUACUUUUCUCUCUAAAUUCUAACUUUGGCAUAAGAGGUUCUUCCGCCAAAGCCCCCCCAUUCAUCAUGGGCGCGUGAGGCUCUUGGCUUUGACCUAAGGUGUUAAUUGUUUUGCAGGUGCAAUUUUGUCCAAGAAGAAGAAGGCGGAAAUUUGCAUCCACAAAUUGGUGUUUUCAUUGAGAGUUGAGAUUCACACUCGUAGAAGACUCUCGCGCAAAAAGGUUUUUACUCUAUUUUCUCUAUUUUCUAGUUCACUUGUAUUUUUCGUACAUUCUUAUUAUUAGAAUUUUUUAUUUGCCAAGAUUCUUUGAUAAAAUGUAAAAGAGAAAUACAAUGGCUAGAAAUUUAGAAAAUUCCACAAGUGAAAAUUCCAAUAUUCAAGAAAUGGGAUCGCGGCGAUCCACGAGACUAAACGUGAUCUUAGGGGGAGCGGCACCACCACCACAAGGCUCCACCAUGGCAACCACCGAGGU